CAGGCUGCAACCCGCCUGCGUGAAGUCGGAAUCGCUAGUAAUCGCGGAUCAGCAUGCCGCGGUGAAUACGUUCCCGGGCCUUGUACACACCGCCCGUCACACCAUGAGAGUCGGGAACACCCGAAGUCCGUAGCCUAACUUUAACGAGGGGGCGCGGCCGAAGGUGGGUUCGAUAAUUGGGGUGAAGUCGUAACAAGGUAAC
rnacentral:rRNA from 1 species